rnacentral:rRNA from 1 species
GAAAGUCCGACGGUACAGGGUGAUAGUCCCGUACACGAAAAUGCACAGGUUGUGAACUCGAAGAGUAGGGCGGGACACGUGGUAUCCUGUCUGAAUAUGGGGGGACCAUCCUCCAAGGCUAAAUACUCCUGACUGACCGAUAGUGAACCAGUACCGUGAGGGAAAGGCGAAAAGAACCCCGGCGAGGGGAGUGAAAAAGAACCUGAAACCGUGUACGUACAAGCAGUGGGAGCCUACUUGUUAGGUGACUGCGUACCUUUUGUAUAAUGGGUCAGCGACUUAUAUUCUGUAGCAAGGUUAACCGUAUAGGGGAGCCGAAGGGAAACCGAGUCUUAACUGGGCGUUAAGUUGCAGGGUAUAGACCCGAAACCCGGUGAUCUAGCCAUGGGCAGGUUGAAGGUUGGGUAACACUAACUGGAGGACCGAACCGACUAAUGUUGAAAAAUUAGCGGAUGACCUGUGGCUGGGGGUGAAAGGCCAAUCAAACCGGGAGAUAGCUGGUUCUCCCCGAAAGCUAUUUAGGUAGCGCCUCGUGAAUUCAUCUUCGGGGGUAGAGCACUGUUUCGGCUAGGGGGCCAUCCCGGCUUACCAACCCGAUGCAAACUACGAAUACCGAAGAAUGUUAUCACGGGAGACACACGGCGGGUGCUAACGUCCGUCGUGAAGAGGGAAACAACCCAGACCGCCAGCUAAGGUCCCAAAGUCAUGGUUAAGUGGGAAACGAUGUGGGAAGGCACAGACAGCCAGGAUGUUGGCUUAGAAGCAGCCAUCAUUUAAAGAAAGCGUAAUAGCUCACUGGUCGAGUCGGCCUGCGCGGAAGAUGUAACGGGGCUAAACCAUGCACCGAAGCUGCGGCAGCGACGCUUAUGCGUUGUUGGGUAGGGGAGCGUUCUGUAAGCCGUUGAAGGUGGCCUGUGAGGGUUGCUGGAGGUAUCAGAAGUGCGAAUGCUGACAUAAGUAACGAUAAAGCGGGUGAAAAGCCCGCUCGCCGGAAGACCAAGGGUUCCUGUCCAACGUUAAUCGGGGCAGGGUGAGUCGACCCCUAAGGCGAGGCCGAAAGGCGUAGUCGAUGGGAAACAGGUUAAUAUUCCUGUACUUGGUGUUACUGCGAAGGGGGGACGGAGAAGGCUAUGUUAGCCGGGCGACGGUUGUCCCGGUUUAAGCAUGUAGGCGGAGGU